rnacentral:rRNA from 1 species
GACGAACGCUGGCGGCGUGCCUAAUACAUGCCAGUCGAGCGGACGAAUCGAAAGCUUGCUUUUGAUUCGUUAGCGGCGGACGGGUGAGUAACACGUGGGCAACCUGCCCUGUAGACGGGGAUAACACCGAGAAAUCGGUGCUAAUACCGGAUAACACGAAAUGUCGCAUGACGUUUCGUUGAAAGACGGCGCACGCUGUCGCUACAGGAUGGGCCCGCGGCGCAUUAGCUAGUUGGUGAGGUAACGGCUCACCAAGGCGACGAUGCGUAGCCGACCUGAGAGGGUGAUCGGCCACACUGGGACUGAGACACGGCCCAGACUCCUACGGGAGGCAGCAGUAGGGAAUCUUCCGCAAUGGACGAAAGUCUGACGGAGCAACGCCGCGUGAGCGAAGAAGGCCUUCGGGUCGUAAAGCUCUGUUGUUAGGGAAGAACAAGUAACGCAGUAACUGGCGUUACCGUGACGGUACCUAACGAGAAAGCCACGGCUAACUACGUG